GAUGAACGCUGACAGCAUGCUUAACACAUCAGCAAUUGAUUGGUGGCGGACGGGUUAGUAACGCGUAAAGAACUUACCUCACAGUUAGGGACAACAUUUGGAAACGAAUGCUAAUACCUAAUCCUGUGAGAGAGCGUUGCGUCCCAUUAGCUAGUGGGAGAGGUAACGGCUCACCAAGGCGAUGAUGGGUAGCCGGCCUGAGAGGGUGAUCGGCCACAAGGGGACUGAGACACGGCCCUUACUCCUACGGGAGGCAGCAGUGAGGAAUAUUGGAGAAUGGACCAAAGUCUGAUCCAGCAUUUCUGUGUGAACGAUGAAGUUUUAGGAAUGUAAAGUGCUUUCAGUUGAGAAGCGGUACCAACAGAAGAAGUGACGGCUAACUACGUGCCAGCCGCCGCGGUAAUAC
rnacentral:rRNA from 1 species